UACGUAGGGUGCAGGCGUUAAUCGGAAUUACUGGGCGUAAAGCGUGCGCAGGCGGUCUGCUAAGACAGGUGUGAAAGCCCCGGGCUCAACCUGGGAAUUGCAUUCGAGACUGAAUAGCUAGGGUACGGUAGAGGGAAGCGGAAUUUCCGGUGUAGCGGUGAAAUGCGUAGAUAUCGGAAGGAACAUCAGUGGCGAAAGCGGCUUCCUGGACCAGUACCGACGUUCAGGCACGAAAGCGUGGGGAGCAAACAGG
rnacentral:rRNA from 1 species